UCUUCUUCAACAAAUCCAAUCACAUAGCUCGCUUCUUCAUCAAUCACACAUCUUCUUCUUCCUAUGUACUAAUCAACUCUAAUCAACAUCAUCAUCUUCUUCUUCCUAAUACCGAUCUUUAAUCAUCAUCACUUGCUAAGUUACUUGUAUCGAUCUUCAAUCAACAUCCAAGUUAGAACUCCAUCUAAGUAUCGAUUGAUAAAUUGAUUCAUCUUUUGAUUUUGAAUCUCUGUUAUUUCAAAUUUGUUCAUUCUUAAUUCUUUCAUCUUUCAUCAAUUUGAUUUUGAUUCUUUGUUCAUUUUUCAUCAAAUUGAUUUGUAUUUCAUCAAUUAUUUCGAGCUCUUUUAAUUUUUACUACAUAAUUUAUAACAUGUGGCACUUUUAAACUGUUUAUUACAAUGGAAAAGUUUUUCAAUUAAACGGUUUGUCAUUUGAUUUUCUAUGAUUUGCAUAUCUAUUUGUCAUUUGAUUUUCUAUAAUUUGCAUAUAUGUUUCUACUGUAAUAAUUGAUUAUGAUUCUUUUUUUGCAGGGCUUAAUUGUUGUAUGCCUAUCUAAAUGCUUCUACUUGUUCAAACUCAAAAGCACAUAUAUCAAAUAUUUCUUCGCAACCUAUGCCUACUGUAGUAAUAAUUGUUCCUGCAUCUGCGAGUGGCUCUGCUUCAACUUCUGCGAGUGGCCCUGUCCUUCCAAAAUCUGGUAAGAAAAUAUCAAUAGCUUGGCUUCAUUUUACUUAGGCUAAAGAUUCUAAACCGAGAAAGGCUGCAUGUAACUAUUUUGGGGCAGUGCAUGUUUUUCAAUGAAAAUCCAAUGGCACUCCUAAUAUGAAAUAUCAUAUCCUUAAACGUAAAUGUGUCUCAAAUAUGGUUAUCCCAGACCUAAUUCUCAAUUGACUCUAGAUUGCAAAUUAACCAAAUAUGUGAAACCACAAAUUGUAGUGGUUAGUUUCAGUUUAGAGGUGUGUAGAAAAGCCCUCACUAAGAUAAUCAUUGUGGAUGAGUUGUUUUUUAGAUUUGUGGAAGGUGAGGGGUUUAAAGAAUUAGUGAAAAUUUUACAACCAGAGUUUAUCUUACCUUUUCGUAAAACAACUGCUAGGGAUUGUCUUAAGCUUUAUCUAGAAGAAAAUAAGACUUUAAAGAAUGGUUUGAAGGGGAAAAGGGUUUGUCUCACAACCUAUCAUGGACUUCAAUCCCAAACUUGAACUACAUGGUUCUCAUGGCCCAUUUUAUUAAUAAGAUUGAAAAUUGCAGAAAAGAAUCUUAAUUUUUUGUCAAGUUCCAAACCACAAGGGUGAGACUAUUGGUAAGCAAGUUGAUAAGUGUUUGCAAGAUUGGGAUAUUGGUAGUAUUUUUAUAAUUACCGUUGAUAAUGCAAGUUCUAAUAGUGUUGCCAUUGAUUACUUGAAGAUAAACACAAGCCAUUGGGAAGAGACGUUUUUAGGACACAAAUAUUUGCACUUGAGAUGUUAUGCACAUAUUCUUAAUCUUGUUGUUUCUGAUGGCUUAGAGUUAGUGGAUGAGUUGGUCUUGAAAGUUCGUCGUGUGGUUAGAUUUGUGAGGUCUUCCCUAGUAGGUUUGAACUAUUCAAGAAAUGUGUGCAAGAAGCCAAAAUUAAUUGUGAUAAGUUGUUGUGCUUAGAUGUUUCAACUAGAUGGAAAUCUACUUAUAUGAUGCUUGAUGUGGCGGAGAUGUUUGAACUUGCUUCAAAUGAUUGGAUAGUAAUGCACAUUACAAGAAUCAUUUUGCGGAUGAACGAAUUGGGAAGGACAAAGUUAUCUUGCCACCUUCUACUGCUUCCAGUUGGGUGAAUGUUUGAGAAUUUGUGAAGUUUUUGAAAGUUUUUUACAGUGCCACAUUACGAGUCUACAGUUAUUUGUAUGUUACAUCUAAUGCUUUCUUUAAUGAUAUUUACCUCAUUGAGCAUAGAUUGUCCAAGUUUGCGAAUAGUAUGGAUGAUCGGUUAAUUGUUAUGGGCAUGGCUAUGUAAUAAAAAUAUGAUAAGUGUUGGAGCUUGGAUGGUGUUGAUCUUUUGUUGUACAUUGCUAUGGUGCUUGAUUCUCAAAAGAAGAUGGAGUAUGUAUCAAUUCGUUUUAAGGAGUUGUAUGGUGUCUCACAAGGAUAGCUUAUGGUUGAUAAGGUGUGUAUUAACCUAUUUCUAGAGCAAUGCAUUAACCAGGUCAGGUCGCUAGCGGACUUAACCAAAUGGGAAAAGUUUGGAUCGGGGUGGCUGCACCUCGUUGAGAUUGAGAUUGCCUACGUACUCUAGUUGUGGGGAUUGAACUUAGAGAUCAAGCCAUCGUAGUUCUGUUUAUAUAGAAGGUGAAGAGGCGAAGAUCGUGGGAUCUUGCAGAUUCUCCGUCAUAUUUAUGAUGAUAUGAUAUUCUCCAGCGAUUGUGUAACGGUUGUAGUAAUUGGGCAACGGCUGGAGAGAGUAUCUUGGGCGCCGAAUUAGGGCACGUGCAUAUUGGCAGACCGCUGUUGAUUGUGUAGUCGAGUUGUUGUGGUCGAGCUGCGAAUAGGUCGAGAUCGUAGCGACCUAGUGGAUUAAUGACUGUGCCACAUGGCUGCUUUUGAUUGGCUGGAGUAUGUAGUACCCCUACAAGGUGAAUCGUAUAUUGAGUGAGUUGUAUAUGAUUUCUAUGCAACACUUUAUCCUAGUUUAGAUGUGCCAACACAAUCACAAGGUGAAACAUCAAGAGAAGUGGAAGAUAGCGAUGAUGAAAAAGAUGUGGAUGCAAUAGUUUCAAGAUUUCAAAAGCAUUUGAAAGAUAAAGAACACUUGGGUAGCAAAUCUGAGGUUGAGAGGUAUUUGGGAGAUCAAUGUGAGAAGAGUCGAGAUAUCUUUGAUAUUUUGGAUUGGUGGAAAAACAAUUCCACUAGGUACAAAGUUCUUUUCCAUAUAACUCAAAAUAUUUUGGCGGUUCCCAUUUCUUCAGUUGCCUCUGAAAAUGCAUUUAGCACGGGAGGUCAAGUACUUGACCAAUUCUAUAGUUCUUUAGCUCCAAGCACGUUGGAAGCACUCAUUUGUAAUGAAGAUUGGUUGUGUGCUCCUUCAAUCACAAUUAAUCUUCGACAAUUCAUAGAUGAAGUGGAGGAGUUUGAAAAAAUUGAUGCAGGUAAUAGUUUAAAUAAUUUAGUUAAUUUGAAAUUUUGAAGAUUGUUUUAUUAUUUAUAUGUUAACAAAUGUAUUAAUUAUUUGUUGUUGUAGUAUUGUUUGGUCCAAUACCAAAUUCAAAUGAAUAAUGAGAUGAUUCUAUUGUGGUAUGUGUUGUAGAUUCUACUGUGAUGGUGUUGCAGUCUUGAAGACUUUUUAAUGUGUAAUAAUAAGUAUUUGGGACUCAGGGACUGGUCUGCAGGUUGUUAUAAUUUUUAUGUGACAAUGUGUGUGAAGUGUGAACUGUGUUACUGUGAGUCUGUGAGAUAUUGUGAUAUACACAAUUGCGAACAGCCGAACAUGUUACAUGUAUUUCUAGUUUAUUGGUCCGCACUCUGUAAGUCUGCUGGUUAUUUGAGAUUUAGUGUUUCAAAUGUCAAUGUGUGUGGUCUGCACUCUGUGACUUUAUGUGUUGUGGUACUACAAUAGGUGUGAAACUAUAAACUGUGAUUCAAGUAUUUUUAGUUUUAUGUAGUGUCAUACUGUGAUCGGAUUUUUUUUUUUAGAUUUUCACUACUGUUAACUCCUUGCUUGAAUAUAACUCUUGAAUCCAUGACACAUCUCCAAUAAACACAACACAUAUUAGUAGGAUAAGUAGCCAUGCUUCACAUAUGCACUUAAAUCCAUUGAAGCCCCUUCAAUAUAAUCAUCGAUAUGCUCCACUUUUGAUCGUUACAACCCAAUGGGACCGGGAACUGCUUGAUCAAACUCAUUUGUCACGUGAAACGAUCGACAACAUAAUACCCCGCUUCCACUUCACCAUCUAGGAAAGCAACCAAGUACUUGGGCGUACAGCUUUAUAAAUACACCAUCUGAAUUUUCCCAAACUUUUGAUCCCCACGCUCAAUAGUUGACUAUCAAAACCACUAAUUACACAAUAAACACAUUUACACCCUAAAGAGUCGACACAUAAGGUCUAAAAAUGUAAUUCCUCUCCUCAAACAAAAAUCCGACAAAACGUUUAUUAGCAGAUUUCCCACACUGCCGCGUUCCACGAAGAUAACUAAUAUUCUCAGCAGGUGCACCCUCAUGAUGGCGUACAUCCCCAGGGGUUGGACCAAGAGCCCUCAAAUGUUCAUACAUCCACAUUUGCAAAAAUGAAGUAUCUACAUAAGAUCUCACCAUACCCACAUCAUUGCAAAUUACUAAGUUACUCACCAAUUCAUCUAAGUGUGUCAUCUUACUACCCAAAUACAUCGCCCCUAAGGGAAAUGCUCACCUUGCGCAAUUGUAAUAGCUAAAGGCAAGGUAACAUACAACGCCUUACCUGGUCGUUCGGGUACAUACAAGUACACACGCACUUAACCACAUCGUUAUCAUUGCUUUAAAAUUAUAUGAUGAAUUUUUCCCAUCAUCGUCUACCUCAAUCUUAUUUUCCCAUCACCGUCUACCUUAAUCUUAUUAUCCAUCUUUUUCCACCAAUAUCCCAGUGUAAUACCUGGGGUCGGCAGAUUGUUUGUUGAGGGGAUGGGUCCAACGACACUUAAGAGGGGGUAUGUUUUGACAUUGGAGUAUAGAUACAGAUCUGUCAUAUAUUAUCACCAAAGCCUUUUUGAAUACUCUUGGCUCCAGAGUUCGAAAGAACUCCAGAGUUAAGAGUGCUCAGGUGGGAAUAGCCUCGGUAUGGGUGACCUCUUGGGAAGCAUGUUGUUUCCCGUAAAUACCCCACACUGUCCGAUGACCGCAAUGGCUAAGUGGGGACAGUAUCGGUGGUGAAAAUAGAUCGGGUCUCUACAAAUGGUAUCAGAGUCGAUGACUGUUUACCUAUCGAGGGUGGGAGAGUAUGUUGAAAAGACUCGUAGCCCAGGAUAGGGGUAACGAUUGUGCCCAUUACUUUUCUCGCGAGGGGCAGGGAACGUCGGAUAUCUAGGGCUGCAUAUGCAGGAGCCGAGGACGACUCCCCUGUAUGGUGGUAGGAUUGUAACACCGCAGGUCGGCAGGUGGAUUACCGAGGGGGUGGGUCCUACGAUGCUUAAGAGGGGGUAUAUCAUGACAUUGGAAUAUGGGUAUAGAUCCUUCAUAUAUUAUCACCAAGGAGUUUUUGAGUACUCUUGGGUCUAGAGUUCGAAAGAACUCUGGAGUUAAAUGUUGUUCCUAGUAUUUAUUGUGGAAGAAGAUGGUACAAAUGUUGAUGUAGAAGCGAUUGAUGGAUGAUGUAGAGUUAUCGUUGACUCAAUACAGUUAUAAUAAUAAUCCUUCCAACGAUUCGAGUGUAACGGCAAGGAAAGGUAUCAAUCCACUCUAAACACAAAAAAAUAAAGAAUACUACCAAUGAGAUGUCACAAUAUUUUGUAGAGAUGUAUAAUAACUAAAUUAACUACUUCUAAUCUAAUACUAUUACUAUAAACGGAGUAAGAUCAAUAAAGGGAAUAAGGGACAUGUUCACUUCAUGAAUCCACCACAAUAAUAAUCUAAUUAAUUAUGCAUGUUCGUAGCUACUCACCUAUCAGCUAUUGUAGCUUCCUAGCUCACCUCUCAGCUAUUGCUUGGAUAGAUAAACACUCACCUCUCAGCUAUUGCGUCUAAUUAUUUUACUUGAGAUCCAUGAAUGGAGUGGAUGAAACCCAAAGUAACAUUCUACUAAGUAAUCAAUCAUAUGCAUCCACCCAUGUAAGCAUAUGUAUGUCAUUUUGUAAGCAAUCCAAUUUUAUAUUGAAACCCUAUUAUGUACUCACCUCUGGGGUAUUGUAAGUAUUAAACAUGUAAGCAUGGUAGACAUACAAGAACAAAAAGGAUGAACCACACAUAUUACUUCUCCCUCGUAUGAUAACAUGUAAGUAUUGUUAUUACCUUUUGUAUGAAAAUGAUUCAACGAAGAACAAACAUAAAAACUAUAUUAAAAUCAAGGGUUCAUCAAUGGAGGCUACUUAUCCCCUAAGGGUUUAGCCUUCCAUUGAUGAAGAACAAGUCAUCAUCAAUAAGAAGAACAUACUUUUAUUGCUCUUAAACCUUAAAAACCUAAUACAACUUGCCUAAGAAUAAAAUAUAGCUUCAAGAAAAGAUUAAUCAAGAGUUUGAUUGAAAGAUACAAGAUAUUUUAAAACCCUAGUUUCCUAGAGUAUAUACACUGUUCGGCCAUGUAGGCAUGUCUAAAUACAUUAAGUCGACAAUAGGAUAAAAGUAGGUCGAUGUGGAGGCCAUUAUCUUCAAGUUUGCACAAGACCGGACCAUCAGUUGACUGGUCAACUCGCGGGGUGGUGAGUUGACCGUUGACUUUACUCGUUCUGUCUUCGGUCAUUGAUAAGUCCUCAAAAGUGUAUAUUUAUUCCCUGACUAGCACCUUGUUUGUAUAGCACUUAGCUUAUAUUAUUGUGUUACAUCUGUUGAUUAGUGUUUUCAUGUUAUUUAUGUAGGUUUCAUGAGCC
rnacentral:lncRNA from 1 species